AGUGAACGCUGGCGGCAUGCUUAAGACAUGCAAGUCGAACGAAGGUAGCAAUACCUUAGUGGCAAACGGGUGAGUAAUGAAUAGGAAUCUACCUUAUAGUGGGGAAUAACAAUUGGAAACGAUUGCUAAUACCGCAUAUUACCGUUUACGGGAAAGGCUUCGGCCGCUGUAAGAUGAGCCUAUUUCUGAUUAGCUUGUUGGUGGGGUAAAUGCCUACCAAGGCAACGAUCAGUAGCUGGUCUGAGAGGAUGAUCAGCCACACCGGAACUGAGACACGGUCCGGACUCCUCGGGGAGGCAGCAGUCGGGAAUAUUGGACAAUGGCGAAAGCCUGAUCCAGCAAUGCCGCGUGAGUGAUGAAGGUCUUAGGAUUGUAAAGCUCUUUUGACGAGGAAGAUAAUGACGGUACUCGUAGAAUAAGCACCGGCUAAUUUCGUGCCAGCCGCCGCCGUAA
rnacentral:rRNA from 1 species